GGGCAGUUGUGUUGGUCGCCCCCGAUUUGGACCAACGCCAGGGUCAAACCAUUUCAGAAUGACAUCCAUACUAAAUUCGAUAACACUGUCAAUGUCCAGGGCUCUUAGCAUGCGUCCCAAUCUCAGUCUUUUGGACAAGUAGGUUUAAGAAAAAUAAAUUAAACAAUUAUGCAACCCUGUGGGUUCACUUGAAAUAGAUUCAAUAAUAAUUUGCAUCUUGACG